rnacentral:rRNA from 1 species
UACGAAGGGGCUAGCGUUGCUCGGAAUCACUGGGCGUAAAGCGCACGUAGGCGGCUUUCUAAGUCAGGGGUGAAAUCCUGGAGCUCAACUCCAGAACUGCCUUUGAUACUGGAGUGCUUGAGUCCGGGAGAGGUGAGUGGAACUCCGAGUGUAGAGGUGAAAUUCGUAGAUAUUCGGAAAGAACACCAGUGGCGAAGGCGGCUCACUGGCCCGGUACUGACGCUGAUGUGCGAAAAGCGUGGGGAGCAAACAGG